UGGGGAAUAUUGCACAAUGGGGGAAACCCUGAUGCAGCGACGCCGCGUGAGCGAAGAAGUAUUUCGGUAUGUAAAGCUCUAUCAGCAGGGAAGAAAAUGACGGUACCUGACUAAGAAGCCCCGGCUAACUACGUGCCAGCAGCCGCGGUAAUACGUAGGGGGCAAGCGUUAUCCGGAUUUACUGGGUGUAAAGGGAGCGUAGACGGACUGGCAAGUCUGAUGUGAAAACCCGGGGCUCAACCCCGGGACUGCAUUGGAAACUGUCAGUCUAGAGUGUCGGAGGGGUAAGUGGAAUUCCUAGUGUAGCGGUGAAAUGCGUAGAUAUUAGGAGGAACACCAGUGGCGAAGGCGGCUUACUGGACGAUAACUGACGUUGAGGCUCGAAAGCGUGGGGAGCAAACAGGAUUAGAUACCC
rnacentral:rRNA from 1 species